GACGAACGCUGGCGGCGUGCCUAAUACAUGCAAGUAGAACGCACAGUUUAUACCGUAGCUUGCUACACCAUAGACUGUGAGUUGCGAACGGGUGAGUAACGCGUAGGUAACCUGCCUGGUAGCGGGGGAUAACUAUUGGAAACGAUAGCUAAUACCGCAUAAUAUUAAUUAUUGCAUGAUAAUUAAUUGAAAGGUGCAAUUGCACCACUACCAGAUGGACCUGCGUUGUAUUAGCUAGUAGGUGAGGUAACGGCUCACCUAGGCGACGAUACAUAGCCGACCUGAGAGGGUGCUCGGCCACACUGGGACUGGGACACGGCCCAGACUCCUACGGGAGGCAGCAGUAGGGAAUCUUCGGCAAUGGACGAAAGUCUGACCGAGCAACGCCGCGUGAGUGAAGAAGGUUUUCGGAUCGUAAAGCUCUGUUGUAAGAGAAGAACGGGUGUGAGAGUGGAAAGUUCACACUGUGACGGUAUCUUACCAGAAAGGGACGGCUAACUACGUG
rnacentral:rRNA from 1 species